GCACUUGAGAAAAUGUAAAAAGAAAUCAUAUUUGGAAUUGGGAUAUUUAACUCCACCACAGUGAUUUUCGCAGGCCCAGUAGAAAGGUCUGGCACGCUUUACAGCCCAUUAAUCAUUUGUGACUUCCCUUUCACAGCUUGUUAUCAAUGCAAUCUAGGAAAAAGACGGCAGGCAAAUGAGCCAGCAGGGUGGCUUCCUUUUCUUCGACGACCCCCCGACACCUGGAGAGGGAGAGGGCUUUCCCUCCUGGUACAAACCUUCAAAGAUAAUUACAUAUUUGUAACCUUUACGAAACGGAAAUGAUUCUACUGACGGCUUGCCUUGCGACUGUCCAACUCGCUUGGUGUUAACGGUACCUUGCCGAGUCUUUUCCCAAGUAAAAGAAAUUCGAUCAUAGACACUCAUAAUAAAUUUUGAGGACUGAGGAAUAAACUUCCUGUCAAUGGUUUUCGGAAAGUUGAUGCCCUACCUGCAACGGUGAUGACACUUUUGUCAGGUCGCGUCAAGAGACGGCCAUGGCGCCGCAGUUCCCCCUCAGGACGCAAGCAGAGCCGCGUUGUCGGCCCUAUCUAACAGGAAACGUCCCUCACCUAUGCAACGGCUUGAUACCGAGCGCAUCUGCCUCAACUGCGAAGGCCCAAACCUGCAGAAACGUGACAGAUGACCCUUUCCGCCGGGUUGAUGCCUUAGGAAAGCUGCGGCGCAAUUAGAGCGGUGAGGAGCGGAGAGACAGGGAUGCAACCGUACAGCCCAUGCUGAUUGUGUUGAUGAACGGGCAUUGUCGUGCUACAGGGCGCAGAGCCUGUAGCGCACGGUUGCAGCUACGGUAGCGCAAUCGGUUGUUACAAGAGGGUGCCUCCACUUCCCAGGUCCUUCCUUAGUCUCAGUCCGGCCCUCGUAUCGCAUCAUCAGCGGGCGGUGCAGCUUAGAAAUUUGCCGAUGGCUGAAUAUCAUGCCGGUGAAAUCCACAGGCGCGAUACACCUUUUUCCUAUUUAGGGGGUUCGUUUCUGGUCCAAAACAAGAAAUGAUUUUCCAGACCAGGCGGAUAAAUUAUUCUUUAACCGUGUUCCGCUGGGGUCUCCGAGCGCCUAGAUUCCCUGAUAACAAUAUAAGGUAACU
rnacentral:lncRNA from 1 species